ACCUCGCAGCUGCCCGACAUUAAACAUUUCAUUUCGGUCGAUCGAGAAUAUCGAUUGUCGCGAAAUUUAUACGUUAUCGUCGUGUUAAGAAAGAUCGAUCCUUUCGAAAAUAAUAAACUCAUUUCUCACAGAUAUGUCAAAAUCAUUAAGCCCGUCGAUACAAAAACAGUGAUAAGGUUCAACUUGGUUGAUUCGAGAAAGUAUUUUUGCAUUAUCCUCGAACGACAACGACAAAAUGAAGGAAAAAACAAUGAGAAUAAUUUAUUGCUGAAACAACGUGCAUCCCUCUUUCACUGGAACUGAUAAACUAUUAUCAACAUAAAAAAGUCUUACUCACAAAGAAAAACAAUUGAUAACUGUUCUUGCUACUACUUCCAAUUUGCUGAUUCUAUAAGCUUGACCUACUUACAGGCUUUAUCCAACGAAUGACCAACUUUAUUGAACCUCUAUGAAUAAUUUUGAAGUUCUUAGGAAUGAUAAGAAUCGCAUCACAGUAGAACAAUGAACCACGUUAUGACGAACGUUUCUUUUGUAAAGCCAGCACAUGCAGAACGAUUAUUAAAUUUCUACG